UAAGUUUGAUCAUGGCUCAGUAAUCAACGCNUGGCGGCGUGCCUCAGACAUGCAAGUCNAACGCGAACGCUCCCUUCGGGGAGCAAGUAGANUGGCGCACGGGUGAGUAACACGUAGGUAAUCUACCUUCGGAUGGGGAAUAACAACCGGAAACGGUUGCUAAUACCGCAUAAUGCAGCGGCACCUAAUGGUGACAGUUGUUAAAGCGGGGGAUCGCAAGACCUCGCGUCUGAAGAGGAGCCUGCGGCGGAUUAGCUAGUUGGUAGGGUAACGGCUUACCAAGGCAAUGAUCCGUAGCCGGCCUGAGAGGGCGGUCGGCCACACUGACACUGACAUACGGGUCAGACUCCCACGGGAGGCAGCAGUCGGGAAUUUUGGGCAAUGGGCGAAAGCCUGACCCAGCAACGCCGCGUGAAGGAUGAAAUCCCUCGGGAUGUAAACUUCGCANGAACGGGAAGAAUAAGUANGGGNUUAAUAUCUCUUACGAUGACGGUACUGUUUGUAAGCUCCGGCUAACUCCGUGCUANCAGCCCCGGUAAUAC
rnacentral:rRNA from 1 species